rnacentral:rRNA from 1 species
AUGAAACCCUUCCAUUUAGAGUUCUAUGAUUGUGUUUUCUCUAAUGAAAGCACUGAAGAAACGUCCAGACAACUUUUGUGGGUCUGUUGCUUCUCUCGAGAUUGUUGGAACAACAUCCUUCCUCCCAAAAAACUAGGUAGCUCUAUUUUGGAUGAUACCCUAUUAGCUCACCAGCUGCUUCCCUCUCAGAUGACUAUGGAAAUAGUCAUUCAUGGCUACAUUUGGUUUCAAAGGAAUGGGAAUGUUUUCAGAAAUGAGGUCCCUAAUGUGUAUUGUUGGAAGUUUAAGCUAAAGCGGGAUUUAAAGUUGCUGGAGCAUGAAAUCAAGGCAAAAACCUAG